rnacentral:rRNA from 1 species
GUGGGGAAUUUUGGACAAUGGGCGCAAGCCUGAUCCAGCCAUGCCGCGUGAGUGAAGAAGGCCUUCGGGUUGUAAAGCUCUUUCGGCCGGGAAGAAAUCGUGGUGGCUAAUACCUGCCAUGGAUGACGGUACCGGACUAAGAAGCACCGGCUAACUACGUGCCAGCAGCCGCGGUAAUACGUAGGGUGCGAGCGUUAAUCGGAAUUACUGGGCGUAAAGCGUGCGCAGGCGGUUGUGUAAGACAGGCGUGAAAUCCCCGGGCUCAACCUGGGAACUGCGCUUGUGACUGCACGGCUAGAGUACGGCAGAGGGGGGUGGAAUUCCACGUGUAGCAGUGAAAUGCGUAGAGAUGUGGAGGAACACCGAUGGCGAAGGCAGCCCCCUGGGUCGAUACUGACGCUCAUGCACGAAAGCGUGGGGAGCAAACAGGAUUAGAAACCCUAGUAGUCC